rnacentral:lncRNA from 1 species
AUGAGAAGCUUGUGUGCCUCAAUGCUCUUUUCCUCCCCAUCCAUAGAUGUCAGCCUAAUAAAAGAUGUCACAGCCAGAGGCCAGGUGUACCACAAUCCCACCCUCGUACCUCUGAGGACAGCUCUUCAAGCUCCAGGCUUUCAUGCUCCUAAGAUGGGAUCCGGUGUCUCUCCCAUGACUUGCCUUCAUCCUUCCGUUCCAGUUGCCUGUGAUCCCAGCUGGUCCUGGCUCAGCAGGCUUCCUGAUGGGAGCCGCGUGGCCCUGCACCCAUACAGGGCCUACAGUGUAUUAUAUGUCACAGGAAAUAUCGGUGUAACUGCACAUUGUAAUUUGCUUGCAGCACAUAUCAUUGAGCAUAUCAAUGAAAUAUUUGACAACGAUAGCAACACAGAAAAAAUCUGUUUUUAUGAUCUAGCAGACUUUUUUUAUCACGUUGACUCUCUUGUUAUUUGUUGGUGGUGUAAUAUCAUAACAAGAAGCACUGUGUAACCAAUAAAGUGGAAGUGUUACUUAUAACA